rnacentral:rRNA from 1 species
GACGAACGCUGGCGGCGUGCUUAACACAUGCAAGUCGAACGGAAAGGCCCUGCUUUUGUUGGGUUCUCGAGUGGCGAACGGGUGAGUAACACGUGUGUAACCUGCCCUUUACUUUGGUAUAACUUCAGGUAACUUGGGCUCAUACCGGAUAGGAGCUCCUGCUGCAUGGUGGGGGUUGGAAAGUUUCGGCGGUUGGGGAUGGACUCGCGGCUUAUCAGCUUGUUUGUUGGGUAGUGGCUUACCAAGGCUUUGACGGGUAUCCGGCAUGAGAGGGUGACCGGACACAUUGGGACUGAGAUACGGACCAGAAUACAACGGGAGGCAGCAGUGGGGAAUAGGGCACAAUGGGAGGAAGCCUGAUGAAGAAACGCAGCGUGCGGGAUGAAGGCCUUCGGGUUGUAAAACGAAUUAGCAUGUGACGAAGAGUGAGUGACGGUAAUGGGUAAAGAAGCACCGGCUAACUACGUG